CCUACGGGAGGCUGCAGUGGGGAAUAUUGCACAAUGGGGGAAACCCUGAUGCAGCGACGUCGCGUGAGUGAUGAAGUCUUUCUGUAUGUAAAGCUCUAUCAGCAGGGAAGAAAAUGACGGUACCUGACUAAGACUCCCCGGCUAACUACGUGCUAGCAGCCGCGGUAAUACGUAGGGGGCAAGCGUUAUCCGGAUUUACUGGGUGUAAAGGGAGCGUAGACGGCGGUGCAAGCCAGAUGUGAAAGCCCGGGGCUCAACCCCGGGACUGCAUUUGGAACUGUGCGGCUAGAGUGUAGGAGAGGCAGGCGGAAUUCCUAGUGUAGCGGUGAAAUGCGUAGAUAUUAGGAGGAACACCAGUGGCGAAGGCGGCCUGCUGGACGAUGACUGACGUUGAGGCUCGAAAGCGUGGGGAGCAAACAGGAUUAGAUACCCGAGUAGUC
rnacentral:rRNA from 1 species